GAUGAACGCUGGCGGCGUGCCUAAUACAUGCAAGUCGAACGAUGAAGAUUAAAAGAUUUCUUCGGAAUGAACUUAAUUGGAUUAGUGGCGGACGGGUGAGUAACGCGUGAGUAACCUGCCUUGUACAAGGGGAUAGCCGUUGGAAACGACGAAUAAUACCCUAUGACAUCAAAUAAUCGCAUGAUAAUUUGAUCAAAGAUUUAUCGGUAUAAGAUGGACUCGCGUCUGAUUAGCUAGUUGGUAGAGUAAAAGCCUACCAAGGCAACGAUCAGUAGCCGGCUUGAGAGAGUGUACGGCCACAUUGGGACUGAGACACGGCCCAGACUCCUACGGGAGGCAGCAGUGGGGAAUUUUGCACAAUGGGGGAAACCCUGAUGCAGCGACGCCGCGUGAUUUAGAAGGCCUUCGGGUUGUAAAAAUCUUUUGUAUGGGAAGAAAAUGACAGUACCAUACGAAUAAGGACCGGCUAAUUACGUG
rnacentral:rRNA from 1 species